CUUGGGAAGAAUGGACUUUGCUGAAUCCUUCCCAGAAGAAUCUCUACAAAGAUGUGAUGCUGGAGACCUACAGAAACCUCACUACUAUAGGAUAUAAUUGGGAAGACCAUAAUAUUGAAGAACAUUGUCAAAGUUCUAGAAGACAUGAAAGGCAUGAAAAUAGUCAAACUAAAGAGAAAACUUCUGUAUAUACUCAAUGUGUUAAAGCUUUUGCGUGGCCUCCUCACAGACAUGAAAAAACACAUACUAGAUUGCAACCCUAUGAAGAAAAUGAGU